UGGAGACCCUGAGACAUAUCCCCUCACAAUGGACUGGAGCUGGAGAAUUCUCUACCUGGUGGCAGUGGCUACAGGUGUGCACUCCAAGGUUUUGCUGGUGCAGUCUGGGGCUGAAGUGAGGAAGCCUCGGGCAUCAGUGAAGAUCUUCUGCAAAGCAUUUGGAUACAGCUUCACUGAUUACUACAUGCACUGGAUGCUAUAGGCUCCUGCACAAGGGUUUGAGUGGAUGGGAAGCAUUGACCCUGAAGAUGGUGCUACAAGCUAUGUGCAGAAGUUACAGGGCAGAGUCACCCUGACAGCAGACACAUCCACAAACAUAGCCUACAUGGAGCUGAGCAGUCUGAGGUCUGCAGACACGGCCAUGUAUUACUGUGCAAGGACACAGUGAGGGGUUGUCAGUGUGAGCCCAGACACAAACCGCCCUGUAGAAGAUCAGGACCACCGGGGGGGUGCACACUAUGCACCAUUCUGUUUGUGGUCCCAGGAGAAGGUGCAGAUAGAGGUUGCUGGAAGUUUUUUUGUCAUGGCCUGGGGUUUCCUCUCCAUAUAGAAGUUUCCCCCAGCAAGCCUCUCUGGACAUAUGAUUCUGUGCUUACAUACUUUUGUCUGGUUUACAAGUUUGUUUGACUAAGAAAACUAUACUUACAUGAACAAGAGAUAGAGUCUCUUACAAUUGCUUACCCUUGUAUCAAAUAUCAAUGGUUUACACAUAUCCUGAAGCACAUCA